rnacentral:tRNA from 1 species
GCCUGAGUGGUUCAGUCAGUCAAGCAUCUGACUUUGGCUCAGGUCAGAUGUCGGGGUCUGUGGGUUCAAUCCCCAUGUCAGGCU